GACGGGUGAGUAAUGCCUAGGAAUCUGCCUGGUAGUGGGGGACAACGUUUCGAAAGGAACGCUAAUACCGCAUACGUCCUACGGGAGAAAGCAGGGGACCUUCGGGCCUUGCGCUAUCAGAUGAGCCUAGGUCGGAUUAGCUAGUUGGUGGGGUAAUGGCUCACCAAGGCGACGAUCCGUAACUGGUCUGAGAGGAUGAUCAGUCACACUGGAACUGAGACACGGUCCAGACUCCUACGGGAGGCAGCAGUGGGGAAUAUUGGACAAUGGGCGAAAGCCUGAUCCAGCCAUGCCGCGUGUGUGAAGAAGGUCUUCGGAUUGUAAAGCACUUUAAGUUGGGAGGAAGGGCAGUAAGCGAAUACCUUGCUGUUUUGACGUUACCGACAGAAUAAGCACCGGCUAACUCUGUGCCAGCAGCCGCGGUAAUACAGAGGGUGCAAGCGUUAAUCGGAAUUACUGGGCGUAAAGCGCGCGUAGGUGGUUUGUUAAGUUGGAUGUGAAAGCCCCGGGCUCAACCUGGGAACUGCAUCCAAAACUGGCAAGCUAGAGUACGGUAGAGGGUGGUGGAAUUUCCUGUGUAGCGGUGAAAUGCGUAGAUAUAGGAAGGAACACCAGUGGCGAAGGCGACCACCUGGACUGAUACUGACACUGAGGUGCGAAAGCGUGGGGA
rnacentral:rRNA from 1 species